GCCAGCGCCAUCUACAAAGUAUAAAAUUAUCCGCCGUGAGUGAAUUCGUAGUCACUUCAGGUCUGCCUUUUGCCCCGUUGACGUGGUGUGCUAGAGGCUAAGUCACAAUGGCUGCGGAUCUCAGUGCUCGCGACGUUGAGAGGGCGAAAUUCGCCUUCUCAAUCUAUGACUUCGAGGGCAAGGGCACCAUGGACGCCUUCUACGUUGGCGACUGCCUGCGCGCCCUGAACCUGAACCCCACCCUGGCCGUCAUAGAGAAGGUCGGAGGCAAGACCAAGAAGAAGGAGAAGAUGCUCAAGGUCGACGACUUCCUGCCCAUUUUCGCUCAGGUCAAGAAGGACAAGGACGCCGGCUCCUUCGAGGACUUCAUGGAGGUGCUGAAGCUGUACGACAAGACUGAGAACGGCACCAUGCUGUAUGCUGAGCUUGAGCACAUUCUCCUUUCCCUCGGUGAGCGCCUGGAAAAGUCUGAACUGGAGCCCGUGCUGAAGGACUGCUGCGACGAGGAGGACGAAGAUGGCUUUAUUCCUUAUGAACGUAAGUCCCUUCUUCACUCACCUACCCCCCCUACACCCCAUCCACUCCCCCUUUCUCCAGUUCCCAUACGUGUCUCCCUCCCACGGUCCCCCACCCCUUCAUCGCCUCCUUCACCGCCUCCUGCAGUCCUUCCUUCCCUCUUAUUGCACUAAGCCAACGUUCCUUUACAGCUUUCCUUCAGAAACUCUGCAAAGAUGUCAAGUAAACACCCAAAGUAUCUAUGCCCUUCCUAAAGAGAGUUUUGGCCUUCAAAAUCUAAGAGGAUGAGUCCACUUUCCUGAAGAAGAUGACUGCCAUGCUCUAAAAAUCCGUUCUCCAUCUUCAAGUUUUGACGUCAGUACGGGAGUGCGCAUGCGUACAACACCAUCGUCAUUCGGAGUGUCAUUGCAGUGUACAAUCAUUCUGUGAGCACAGCUAAACCACAGACAUUUUGAUUAGUUAUACUUACAUGUAAAAAAAAAUAACAUAAAAAAAAAACAAGAUGAAGAAGAAUAUCGAAUCUCGAGUUAACAACAAGCGAACGCGCAGUCGUAAUAAUAAUAAAUAAAUAAUACUAUUAAUUAAUAACAAUAAUAAUUCUUUGUCGUGCAUUACAUAUUAAUUUCUCAAAGCACAAGAGGCACCACCCGAUACAUGCUCAUUUUGUCCUUCUGUCUCUGUGUGUAUGUGAGUGAGCGCGUGCGUGUGUGUGUGCGAGUGCGUCCGUGUAGCAGCGUGAAGGUCCCAUGGAUCUUUGAAGCGUCUUCUUUUCAUCCACGCUGGGCCUCGGGGGAGUAGGGGUAGUAGGCACUAGGCACGGGUUGUGUGUUCAUUGAUGACCAGACCUGAAGUGACCAUUGUGAUCCGCAUAGCUCGCCCGCCCAACGCCAUCUCGCGGUGGGCAGCUGAACAUGCCAUUCAAGUACCCAGCGCAGCCCCGCCCACCACCUGAAGCUCUCCAUCAGGGGCGCCUUAUCGGUACCGCCACUCCCGAGCCUCCCUGCCUACCCUGCCUCCCCUACACGCCCAAGAGAGCCUCUGACACACUCGAGGAGGUGACCAGGGGGAGUGUCACAGUCAGCCAGUCAGACGAUCGGUAACAAGGCCCCACUUCAGUCAUCAGUCAGUCAGUCAGUCAGUCCGCCCUGAACGGCAUCAUCUACUAACUGCUGUCUGUAGGCACAUUGGUUAAGUUCUCUAUCGUCUCAAUAAAAGAAAAACAUCUUGA